rnacentral:hammerhead_ribozyme from 1 species
AUCCAGCUGACAAGUCUCAAAUAGGACGAAAUGCGCUUUAUCCUGGAU